UAAAAGGAGGCUAGCGUAUGAAAGAAAUUUAACCCUAUUUGGUGCCCUAAGGAAUGAAAAAGAUAAGAGUGAGCAAAAUGAAAGAAAGGGGGUUUAUAAAAUCUCUUUAGUUGAUAAUGAUACAGAGGAGCAAUUAGCAUAUGUAGAGGUGAUGAUGAGAACUAUAGAAAGACAAGUAGAAGAACCCAAGAAAGACAUCUUACAAGCACAUCUAAAUACAGCCCUUGCAACAACGGCUUAUGAAAAAGAUGUUACGAUAAAAUGGGAUGAGGUGAAAUGUGUCAAAUCAGUAAGAAAGCACACCAAGCCAGCUAUAGUGGAGUCACUGCAAAUAAUGGAGGAGGGGAAGAAUGGAAAGUUAGUUAAUGAUAAAUUGGCAUGGGAACCAUCUCUAGCAUGGAGAUAUCUUUUAGAAAAUAGGGAAUAAGUGUUGUCUUCUGAAAUAUGAGUCUAAGGCUAAUCAAGGUUGAACUUUCUAAAGAAGUUUUGAAGUUUAUUGUAAGCUCACUGGUUUAUGUCAUUUCGUUGCCUUAGUGAUUCGUGCGUUUAUUUUUAAUUUAAUUUUGUUUUCUUAUUUUUUCUUUUUCAUUGUUUUUAAAAAAUAUUCUGUUCUUUUGUACAUUAUUCUAAGUAGUGUAAUGAGCCUGAAGAGGAUGCCUUGUAGCAUUGAAAACGUUCACUUAGGAAAAUAAAGAAUGUGUUUUCAUAC
rnacentral:lncRNA from 1 species